rnacentral:lncRNA from 1 species
AAAAUUAUCAGUUUUCUCUUUCAUUUCAUCUAAUGACAGAGCAGGCACUUGAAUAGGCGACACUUCCUUUUGUACUUCAGGUUUGACAAGGGCUGAUGCAUUUGUGCCUUUUGGGUGCCCUGUCCAACAAAGAUAGCCAUAGGAUGAUUAUCAUAGUUUAGUGCACAAUCCCGGAAAUGAUGUAAACACAACAUCAAACUUGAAUAACACGACAUUGGACCACAUUGGACAACAUCGGGCAGUUCAUGGCAACAACAAAGAACAGACCAAACUCAGCUUAAUUAUUAAGAGCAAACACAUAGCACCAGGCCCAAAACUACGAACUAGACCAAAUAUCUCUAAUCAUCAGUAAAUUGACAUUAGCAGACAAAGGUAUACAAAUUUUACACUAAAAAAUAUCUAUGGGAGAGCUAAAAAUAUAACAAUGAAGUGCAUGGCAAACAAAAAACCUAACAGUUUAAUUCAAGCACAGAAGUUUCACCAACCAGAAGAAGUGAUUAACACACUUUAACAUAACCACUCGUACACUAUGAUAUCAAAGAUUUAACUUUGCCAAUACCUAACAGAGCGUAGCUUCGCUUGCAACAAUGAAACAGAAAUGCAUUGUUCAUCAACAAUAUAACGAACUAACAACACUUUAUCUUAGAAGGGGAUUUAACACACAUAAAAAUCAACGAGGAAGCCAGAUAUAUUUAAAGAAUAGAAAGUGAAGCCGCCACAUAUUCUAUUCCAACCAGAAACUGUAGCAAUGUCACAACAAUGAACACCUCAACAGGCUAUCCAAAGAUAACCGAUUGAUUUCGGGAGAAAAAAGGUAACCGACUGUGCUGAACCUUAUGGUAGGAAACAGAUUGAUUUCGGGAGAAAAAGAUGACAAGAAAUGUACCAUCAUGGUUGUGCUUUGGGCUCGUAAGGAGCUCAUUUUCAUGUGCUGUGUAUGCCUCCUCCAUCUGGCAGGUGCAGCAAAGCCACCGACGCAUCUUGUCUCUCUUCCUCAAAUGUAAAUCGUGAUCGUGUUCGUGUUCAUCCCCUGGUUUCUCCAAGUGUACAAAGCAGGCAGGAGAAGGCGUAUGCGACUGUUCAGAAAAAUAUUAACACCCAUUAUAUCACCAUACGAAAUCAACUUAGUAAUCAUAACCAUCCUAUGAUCAAAUCUAAUCACAAAUCUCAACGAACAAUCAAACAAUUCAACCAGCCAAGGGGGCUGGAUUAUGAUGAAUGGAUAGAACAAUUGGGAUGAUGAAAUCACAUCCUGAAGACUCCAUUUCGCAUUUGCAAUCACAAUCACAAUCAAAUCAGCCAAGUCAGCGAAUUGAAUUGAAUUAAAUGCAUCCUUGAGAAUCAAUCCAAUCAAAAGCAACAAAAACUGAAUCGAGAUCAAUACCAAUUUCAAAACACGGAAGCCAAAUACAAAGUCCUCGCCACGAGAUUAUGAGAAUUGUAAUCCUUCCCCUCCAUCAAAAGAAGAAAAUAAACAGAGAAGGGGAGGGAGAGGGGAGACGCGUCGGUAGCUGAGCCGAUGGCAAACAAAAGAAAAAUAAUGGCGGGGUGGGGGAGGGGGAAAGGAAAGAGACGAGGAUUUGGAGAAGGGAGUGGACAGAAUUAAGAGGCGGUAAAACAGAAGCGAGAACCAUUAGAUCGCAACCGAAAUGGUGGGGAAGACGAAGAACCAUUCGAUAGAAACAGAUUGAGAGAGAGAUGGGAAAAGGGUUGAUUACCUGUAGAGCUGAUAGCUUCUGGGCGUUUGAUUCUUUUUGUCUCUCAGAGAGAAAUUCGGUUGCUUUGUUUCUUAUUGUUCAGUGAAAAGUGGAAGGGCUGCCUGGAUUGGAUUCGUUGGAAUUUGUCUGUAAAUAGAAAACGCCGGAAGAGAGAGAAACACGGCUAAUUGUAUGAGAGAGAGAGAGAGACAACGGGGGACCGAAUCUGUAAUUUCCACCGGAUAUGUCAAAAUAUUGCAAACUUAUCAUUCAAAGUAUUUCUAUUGCAGUAAAAAUCACUAACCUAUUUUUAAAGUUGCACUCCACUAUUUUCGUUAGUUUUUCGUCAGAACAGGAUUGUGACCGCGCGCACCUUUUAUUUAAUUCAAACACUCCCCAUAUUAACAGAGAACAUAACGAUAGGUCAAUUUUAUAGAUGAUGUAGUGCUCUUUAGGAAUAAUAUUAUUUUGAAGUCAUCGGUUUUCGUUAGAUGUUGGAUGAUCGACGCUAAAUUUAUUUAUCGGGAAAGCAACCAUACUCUAUCAUAGAUUUCUUAAGUGGCAUAUGUCAUUGUUUACUUAUUUGUGUUUAUUAUAUUUUUUGUUUCUAAUCCAGGAGCAGAUCAGAGGGGGAAUUAUUAUAUUUUUGUUUCUAAUCCAGGAGCAGAUCAGAGGGGGUGCUCGAAAAUUAAUGUAUAUUGGCCAUUUCGGUCCGAAGUAGUAAAUUCAUGUAAAUAUUUAUGAUUAUUUUGAAUUUGGCUCAUGGAAAAUUUUAGAUCAAGUUCAGUUUUUUGUUGUUUCGACUCGGUACUUGAUACAUAUCAAUCAUACUUUCGACUCAAUACUCACAUUUACUAUUAUUUGGUUAGGAAAAUAAAUCGUAUUGCGGGCACAUUCAAUCUUUUAACUAAAAACAACACAAUAAAUGUUUUUUUUUAUAUUUGAACUUUGUAUUAUGUUAAAUAAAUCUAUUCGUAAAUUAAUUACUCAAUACACAAAUUUUCAAUUCGAAUCAGGCUACAUUUUGAUUUUGCGCCAUUGUUCUAAUCCUAUAUUGUUCCUUCACACUUUGAAAUAAUUUGAAUGCUGGAGAGAUGAUAAAAACAAAGACUUGAUAUAAAAACAAGACCGGAACCAACGACGAAAGGCCAAGUUAUCUUAAGCAAAGACCGACGACGACGACGACGACUAACAGAAACCAAAAAUCUUCCCCAAGUCUAUGGCUUUAAAUUGCAGAGGCCACUCAGUGAAAGUUCCCCAUCCCAUUGCACACUUGUGAGUUAAACCUCCCAAACAUAUCUCUCUCUCAAAUCUCUACUUCUCCAUUUUACGACAUGUCGAGUCCUGAAGAGUACCAGGUUUUCUUGAGCUUCAGAGGCCUUGAUGUCCGCCGAACAUUUGCUGACCAUCUCCGCACUUGCCUUGUUCGUUCCAAAAUUCGCACAUUUGCCAACGACGAAGAGCUCCCAAAGGGGGAAGCCAUCGGUCCGUCCCUUGUCAAAGCUAUAACCGAGUCCAAGAUCCUCAUCGUGGUCUUAUCCGAGAACUAUGCUUUCAGCAAAUGGUGCCUCCGGGAGCUAGCUACGGUGGUCGAUUCCUACAAGACUGGAGGAGGAAAACAGAUUAUCCUACCUGUUUUCUACGGCAUUGAUCCGAAAGACGUCCGGCAUCUAGAUUCGGGUCCUUACAAGAAAGCAUUUGAACAACACAGCCUGAAGCAUGAUCCUGAGACUGUAAUGAAAUGGAAGGAAGCACUGGGAGAGGUUGGCAGGACGAAAGGAUGGCUCGUCACUGAAUCGCAUGGGUAACUAUUAAUAUGAUCUUAAUUAUAAAAAAAAACUAUUAACAUGAUCUCUACUACUUAUCCGUACAUGACUUUGUUACGUACUUACAUGUCUAAUUGAUCAGUACUACAUAGCUAAGUAUAAGAUUAGCAUAUGCGCUUAUAAUAAUCUCCCGGACCCUCUCUCCUCGCACGUUAGCUGCUUGCAGAGAUGAGUUUUAGCCAAGGAGUUGUAACAGAUUUGUUCAUCAGGAUUUUAUUAUUUAUCCUAACAUCAAUUAGGUUAAUUUGAGGGCUUAGUUUGUUUUCAUGGUUUGUAUCCGUUUUCCAGUCAGGGGGCUAUAAUAGACCAUAUCCUUACUGAAGUGUUGUCACAUCUGAAGGCGACUGUGGCAGAAGCAUCAGUGGCCGGCCAGCAGCCUUGAGGUUUGUCAUCUUUGAAAAGCCUCUUUAGUUAGUUAGUUAUUACAAUCCAGAAUUGCUCUCUUUCAGUCUUAUUCUAAUUUCCUUUCUCAGGCCACUUGGCGAAGGAGGUCCCGGAAAUCUCGAAACUGAAGAGUUAGUCUCAGACAGCUUUUCAUGAUAUGAGAUUCGCUACCGAAGAAGAAGCACACCCUUUACCAUAUUUCGCGAUGGUCAUUGACCAUUCUAUCUGUUUUUUUACGUUUUAUGAUAUGGUUGAUGAUAUGAUUUUAUCAUAUCUUUUGUACUUUAAUUUCAAAAUCUGUUGGAUUGUUGCAGUUGGUGUUCGUAUGUUAUUGAAAGUUGAAUACUUCUCUCAAGUUUCUAUCAAUGGCGCCAUCAAUUGAAGUUAAAGGUUUUACACUUUUACUCCAACGUGGCAAGUUCGAAUGGGCAAAACGACCCAAAUUCUAGGGACAAAAGGGGUAUUUCGCAUCUCCCUCCAGCCCAGACACCGGCGCCGGCUGCCGGCCACCCUACCAAAAACAAUCCAAACCAAAUUCUUUAAACACCAGCAACCAAAACCAGCUCCUCCAUUUUCCCAAAUCUACAAACAACAUACCAAUUUGAUUCUCUACAUAGAUCAAGAACAAUCAAAUACAGCCCAUCUCAUAGUAAAUUCCUUUAUAGCACAUCAAACGACAAACUCUGCAACGGGUUCCACAACAUUAUUACACAUCACCCCACAUAUUCCUUUAGGCACAUCCUUCAGCUUACCUUCCAUUCCCUUCUAUCUUUCUCCUUUCAGGAUUCUGGGGCAGCAGCAACGGCAGAAGGGACUUGAGAUUUUAGCAGUGGCUGCAAAGCCUUCACAACGAUGCUCAUGUUUGGCCGAAACUCUGAUUCGUACUGCACGCACAAUGCCGCCACUGCUGCCAACUGCAGACAAAUACCCCCAAUUUAUAUUAUGUAAAUGAGCUGUCAGGCGUAACUAUAACACUCUAUUGACAAAGAAAGCACAUACCUUGGCGACUCCUUUAGGUGGGUACUCUCCUUUCAGCUUCGGGUCCACACAUUGCUUCACUUUGUCUUCACUUAAUCUUGGAGUAGCCUGACAAAAGCAUACAAAAUCAUUGCAACUCAGCUGAACAAAAGAAUGUUUGUACAAAAAGGCAACGGCAGAUGAACAAAGCCUUACCCAGGUGACUAAACUUUGUUGACCUCGGGGCAUGGUAUGAUCGACUGGUUUCCUUCCAGUGAGAAGUUCGAGGAGAACCACCCCGAAGCUGUAAACAUCACUCUUCUGUGUCAAUUGUCCAGUCAUUGCAUACCUACACGAAAGAUGAAGUACCAUAUAAAUCUCCAAACUAUAUAACACGUGGGUGAAAACUCCAGCUAAUACAACCAACCACAAACAAUAACCAACUGUGAGACAAAAAUCUAUGGAUAUGCUCCCCUACUACGUCGGAUAUGAUUACCAUUCAAUAUAACAAAAUCAAGGAAAAGGGUAACCAUUACUCUGGAGCAUGAUAACCGAAAGUCCCUAGAACGCGAGUAGAAUGCAGGCGUGCAGCCAUGUCAGGGGCCUGGUUCGAUAGGUUGAAAUCUGCAAUCUUAGCUUUGAAAUCCUCAAAUAGAAGCACAUUGCUUGAUCUGACAUCUCUGUGUAUUAUAGAAGGCUGAACCUUCUCAUGCAAGUAUUCCAAACCCCUUGCAGCAUCAACUGCAAUUCUGACUCGCUGUAUCCAGUCCAGCACCGGACCAGGUUGUGCCCCUUGGACCCCCUUUCGACCUGUUAAUCGACUCAUAACUCAUAAGGCAUGCCAAUUCAAAUAUGCAAGAUAGAAAAAAAAUCCUCAUUAGUUCUAUCUCAAAUAGAGAAGAUAAAAUGUGAUACCAUGUAAUAUGUCAUGAAGGGAUCCCAUUGUUGCAAACUCAUAAGCAAGCACCCUAAGAUUUCCCGCAACACAAUAGCCUUGCAAUUCCACAAAAUUUUCAUGUUUCAAUCUUGACACCAUUGAAACCUGGAACACAGUUGAAGAAAACCAAUAUCGAAUAUUAAUAAUAUAAGCAUAAUGUCCAGUGAAAAUCAUCUAAAGGUGAAGGAAGAUAGAGUACAACAAUGAACUAUGUACAAAAACUGAAUUAGACAGAAUAGUCCAUAUAAACUGCCCAUUAAUUUCAUUAACUCAAAAGCUACCUGGGUCAAAAAUUCGUUAUUUGUUUCUGGCUCACUUGACACGUCAAGUUUCUUCACAGCCACGGAUUUUCCAUUAUCUAAGGUUGCGAAAUACACUCUGCCGUAAGAUCCUUCACCGAUUAGUGCCUUCGAUCCAAAAUUAUCAGUUUUCUCUUUCAUUUCAUCUAACGACAGAGCAGGCACUUGAAUCGGCGGUACUUCCUUAUGUACUUCAGGUUUGACAAGGGCUGAUGCAUUUGAGCCUUUUGGGUGCCCUGUCCAACAAAGAUAGUAAGACAGGAUGAUUGUCACAGGGUAGUCACAAUCCAGGAAAUGAAGUUAACACAACACAUUAAGUUUUAAUGGAUUGAUAAUAUAGAAAAUAAGAAAUCCACAUGGACCACU